GAUGAAGAACGUAGCGAAAUGCGAUACUUGGUGUGAAUUGCAGAAUCCCGUGAACCAUCGAGUCUUUGAACGCAAGUUGCGCCUCAAGCCAUUAGGUUGAGGGCACGUCUGCCUGGGCGUCACAUAUCGUUGCCUGAUGCCAGUUUCCUCGUGAUGGGUGACUGUGCAGGGCGAAUGAUGGCUUCCCGUGAGCAUUGUUGCCUCAUGGUUGGUUGAAAAUUGAGUCCUUGGUAGGGAGCGCCGUGAUAGAUGGUGGUUGAGUGACAAACGAGACCCAAUCAUGUGAGACCCCUACCGAAUUUGGCCUUCAUGACCCACAUGCGUCUUUGGAACGCUCAUGACGAGACCUCAGGUCAGGCGGGGCUACCCGCUGAGUUUAAGCAUAUCAAUAAGCUGAGGA
rnacentral:misc_RNA from 1 species